ACUGCAGUACCUAGCUGAUUUACAUUGCUCUCGAAAAGUCAAGCAAGGUCAGCCCUGGUUAGUACUUGGAUGGGAGACCACUAGGCAAUCCCAGGGCUACAGAAGGU
rnacentral:rRNA from 1 species